rfam:Schistosoma mattheei strain Denwood, Zambia genome assembly, scaffold: SMTD_scaffold0011296
NNGCUGCUGAGGAGUCCCGCCAUAGGACGAAACGGCCGUUCAGUGC